GCUCCAUGUUCUGGAGGACCCUGGUGCUGUGUCUGCUCCGACCCCUGCACAGAAAAGCAAAUAUCAAAAUUGCUGUGGAAAAAAAAAACCCAACGCAUUCUGAUUCUGGAGGGCAUUUGUGGAACUGCAUGUGGACCAGGGCAGACACCACGGGACAGCACGAUGGAUAGGGAGCGGGAACGGCCCAGCAACAGGGUUGAGGAAAUUAUUUAAGAAAAUAACACCAACGUGUAACAACAACACCAGGGAAACAGGGAGUGCUGGGGGCAAAGUUAGGCUGUGGACGAGAUUUGAAGGACAUCAGCUUGAGCAAGGAUGUGGACCCAGAAUGUGUUGCCGCAGAAACAGGAUGAAAUGGAGUUGCCUGAAAAUCCGCCGUGUUCUCUCCCAUCCUUCAAGCCGUAACUGUUGC